UGGGUAUAAUACCCGAUAGGUCUCGAUUGCUGGAAUGCAUCGAGAUUUAAAGCUCCGGCGCCUAAGGAUGGGUCUGCGGCCUAUCAGGUAGUAGUGGGUGUAGCGUACCUACUAGCCUACGACGGGUACGGGUUGUGAGAGCAAGAGCCCGGAGAUGGAUUCUGAGACACGAAUCCAGGCCCUACGGGGUGCAGCAGGCGCGAAAACUUUACAAUGCUGGCAACAGCGAUAAGGGAACCUCGAGUGCCAGGUUACAAAUCUGGCUGUCGAGAUGCCUAAAAAGCAUUUCAUAGCAAGGGCCGGGCAAGACCGGUGCCAGCCGCCGCGGUAACACCGGCGGCUCGAGUGGUAACCGUUAUUAUUGGGUCUAAAGGGUCUGUAGCCGGCCGGAUAAGUCUCUUGAGAAAUCUGGCAGCUUAACUGUCAGGCUUUCAGGAGAUACUGUCUGGCUCGAGGCCGGGAGAGGUGAGAGGUACUUCGGGGGUAGGGGUGAAAUCUUGUAAUCCUUGAAGGACCACCAGUGGCGAAGGGGUCUCCCCCGAACGGAACUGAGGGGAAGGGAGGAAAACUAGGGGCACGAACCCGAUUAGAUACCCGGGUGGCCCUCCCGUUAAACGAUACUCGCUAGGUGUCGGCCGCGGGCCGACCCUUGUCGGGGCCGUAGGGAAGCCGUGAAGCAAGCCACCUGGGAAGUAAAGUCGCAAGGCUCAAACUUAAAGGAAUUGGCGGGGG
rnacentral:rRNA from 1 species